rnacentral:snoRNA from 1 species
AUUCUGUGAUGAGGGCACUUUCGUAAUAAUUAUUUAUGCAUUUCCCAUGCCUCAUACAAGGACUCAUCAUCCAUUUGUUGGAAAGUAGUGAUCUCGUUCCUCAACUU